rnacentral:rRNA from 1 species
AACGAACGCUGGCGGCAUGCCUAACACAUGCAAGUCGAACGAGACCUUCGGGUCUAGUGGCGCACGGGUGCGUAACGCGUGGGAACCUGCCCUUAGGUUCGGAAUAACUCCCCGAAAGGGGUGCUAAUACCGGAUAAUGUCUUAGGACCAAAGAUUUAUCGCCUUUGGAUGGGCCGGCGUUGGAUUAGCUAGUUGGUAGGGUAAAAGCCUACCAAGGCGACGAUCCAUAGCUGGUCUGAGAGGAUGAUCAGCCACACUGGGACUGAGACACGGCCCAGACUCCUACGGGAGGCAGCAGUGGGGAAUAUUGGACAAUGGGCGAAAGCCUGAUCCAGCAAUGCCGCGUGAGUGAUGAAGGCCUUAGGGUUGUAAAGCUCUUUUACCCGGGAUGAUAAUGACAGUACCGGGAGAAUAAGCUCCGGCUAACUCCGUG